rnacentral:rRNA from 1 species
UGGCUCAGGAUGAACGCUAGCUACAGGCUUAACACAUGCAAGUCGAGGGGAAACGACAUCGAAAGCUUGCUUUUGAUGGGCGUCGACCGGCGCACGGGUGAGUAACGCGUAUCCAACCUGCCCACCACUUGGGGAUAACCUUGCGAAAGUAAGACUAAUACCCAAUGAUAUCUCUAGAAGACAUCUGAAAGAGAUUAAAGAUUUAUCGGUGAUGGAUGGGGAUGCGUCUGAUUAGCUUGUUGGCGGGGUAACGGCCCACCAAGGCAACGAUCAGUAGGGGUUCUGAGAGGAAGGCCCCCCACAUUGGAACUGAGACACGGUCCAAACUCCUACGGGAGGCAGCAGUGAGGAAUAUUGGUCAAUGGACGAGAGUCUGAACCAGCCAAGUAGCGUGCAGGAUGACGGCCCUAUGGGUUGUAAACUGCUUUUAUAAGGGAAUAAAGUGAGUCUCGUGAGACUUUUUGCAUGUACCUUAUGAAUAAGGACCGGCUAAUUCCGUGCCAGCAGCCGCGGUAAUACGGAAGGUCCGGGCGUUAUCCGGAUUUAUUGGGUUUAAAGGGAGCGUAGGCCGGAGAUUAAGCGUGUUGUGAAAUGUAGACGCUCAACGUCUGCACUGCAGCGCGAACUGGUUUCCUUGAGUACGCACAAAGUGGGCGGAAUUCGUGGUGUAGCGGUGAAAUGCUUAGAUAUCACGAAGAACUCCGAUUGCGAAGGCAGCUCACUGGAGCGCAACUGACGCUGAAGCUCGAAAGUGCGGGUAUCGAACAGGAUUAGAUACCCUGGUAGUCCGCACGGUAAACGAUGGAUGCCCGCUGUUGGUCUGAAUAGGUCAGCGGCCAAGCGAAAGCAUUAAGCAUCCCACCUGGGGAGUACGCCGGCAACGGUGCAACUCAAAUGAAUUGACGGA